AGAGUUUGAUCCUGGCUCAGAACGAACGCUGGCGGCGUGGAUCAGGCAUGCAAGUCGGACGAUCUAUUUUCGGAUAGAUAGUGGCAGAAGGGUUAGUAACGCGUGGGUAACUUGCCUUCGAGUUGGGAAUAACCUUCCGAAAGGAGGGCUAAUACCGAAUGACAUUCAUUUCAUGCAUGUGAGAUGAAUCAAAGGCGGCUCCGUAAGGGCUGUCGCUUGAGGAUGGGCCCGCGUCCUAUCAGCUUGUUGGUGAGGUAACGGCUCACCAAGGCAUUUGACGGGUAGCUGUUCUAAGAGGAUGAUCAGCAACACUGGGACUGAGACACUGCCCAGACUCCUACGGGAGGCUGCAGUCGAGAAUCUUUAUCAAUGCCCGAAAGGGUGAAUAUGCGACGCCGCGUGCAGGACGACGGCCUUCGGGUUGUAAACUGCUUUCAGGGGUGAGGAACCUUUACGUGUUAAUAGCACGUAAACUGACGUUAACCCCAGAAGAAGCCACGGCUAACUCUGUGCCAGCAGCCGCGGUAAUACAGAGGUGGCAAGCGUUGUUCGGAUUUAUUGGGUGUAAAGGGCAGGUAGGCGGUCAUGCAAGUCUGUUGUGAAAUCCCAGGGCUCAACCCUGGAACUGCAAUGGAAACUGCAUGACUUGAGUAUCGGAGAGGUGAGGGGAAUUCUCGGUGUAAGGGUGAAAUCUGUAGAUAUCGAGAGGAAUACCAGUGGCGAAGGCACCUCACUGGUUGAUGUCUGACGCUGAACUGCGAAAGCCGGGGGAGCAAACAGGAUUAGAUACCCUGGUAGUCCCGGCUGUAAACGAUGUAGAUUAGAUGUUGGGGGAGUCGAUCCCCUCAGUGUCGCAGUUAACACAUUAAAUCUACCACCUGGGGAGUACGGUCGCAAGACUGAAACUCAAAUGAAUUGACGGGGACCCGCACAAGCGGUGGAGCAUGUGGUUUAAUUCGAGGCUACGCGAGGAACCUUACCUGGGCUUGACAUGAUAGAAGUAGUCCUGAUGAAAGUCGGGGCGACCGUAUCCAAUCGGAGUCUAACACAGGUGCUGCAUGGCUGUCGUCAGCUCGUGCUGUGAAGUGUUGGGUUAAGUCCCGCAACGAGCGCAACCAUUGCCCUUAGUUGCCAGCGAGUUAUGUCGGGGACUCUAGGGGGACUGCCGGUGAUAAACCGGAGGAAGGUGGAGAUGACGUCAAGUCAGCAUGGCCCUUACGCCCAGGGCGACACACGUGCUACAAUGGUCGGUACAAAGGGCUGCAAUACCGCGAGGGGGAGCCAAUCCCAAAAAGCUGGCCUCAGUUCGGAUUGCAGGCUGCAAUUCGCCUGCAUGAAGCUGGAAUCGCUAGUAAUGGCGUAUCAGCCAUGACGCCGUGAAUACGUUCCCGGGUCUUGUACACACCGCCCGUCAAGCCACCUGAAUCGGUGGUACCCGAAGUCGUUUACCAAACCGCAAGGGAGGAAACGCCGAAGGUAAAACCGGUGAGGAGGGCUAAGUCGUAACAAGGUA
rnacentral:rRNA from 1 species